UACGAAGGGGGCUAGCGUUGCUCGGAAUCACUGGGCGUAAAGGGCGCGUAGGCGGAUGGCACAGUCAGAUGUGAAAUUCCCGGGCUUAACCUGGGGCUGCAUUUGAUACGUGUUGUCUAGAGUGAGGAAGAGGGUUGUGGAAUUCCCAGUGUAGAGGUGAAAUUCGUAGAUAUUGGGAAGAACACCGGUGGCGAAGGCGGCAACCUGGUCCUUGACUGACGCUGAGGCGCGAAAGCGUGGGGAGCAAACAGG
rnacentral:rRNA from 1 species